UUAAAGGAAGUUGACGGGGCCCGCACAAGCGGUGGAGUAUGUGGUUUAAUUCGAUGCAACGCGGAGAACCUUACCUGGUCUUGACAUCCCGGAGACCCUUAGGAAACUAGGGGUGCUUCCAUCUGGAAGAAUCUGGAGACAGGUGCUGCAUGGCUGUCGUCAGCUCGUGUCGUGAGAUGUUGGGUUAAGUCCCGCAACGAGCGCAACCCUUGCCUUUAGUUGCCAGCAGUUCGGCUGGGCACUCUAAAGGGACUGCCGGUGUUAAACCGGAGGAAGGUGGGGAUGACGUCAAGUCCUCAUGGCCUUUAUGACCAGGGCUACACACGUACUACAAUGGCCGAUACAAAGGGCAGCGACACUGCGAGGUGAAGCCAAUCCCGUAAAAUCGGUCUCAGUCCGGAUUGGAGUCUGCAACUCGACUCCAUGAAGUUGGAAUCGCUAGUAAUCGUGGAUCAGCAUGCCACGGUGAAUACGUUCCCGGGCCUU
rnacentral:rRNA from 1 species